GAGAAGAGAUAGAGAAAUGACGAUCCAAUUCGAGAAGAACCGCAAGAAGAGAGGCAUCAGCGCCGAUCACGGUAUAGGUAAGCACCGUAAACAUCUCGAAGGUCACGGUAACACUGGAGGCAUGCACCAUCACCAGAUCCGGGGUAUUUCAAUAAAAUUGGUAUGAUAUACUUUCACAAGCUUUGCUGAAAGUUUUUACUGCCCCAUCGUCAACGUCGACAAGCUCUGGUCGCUCCUCCCCUAGGAGGCUAAGGACAAUGCGCUGCUCAUCGAUGGGACGCCGUACGACUUCUUCAAGGUCUGGGAAAGGGUGUGUUGCCACAACACCAACCCGUUGCUGAGAUUAUCAUCAUCCUACUUCCAAGGAGAUAGAGUUGGAGAUCAAACGGACCUAGAAGGGGCAGGAUGUGUUGAAAUCGAUUCUAAAUAGAGCGAUACAGGUUGGAGAGAAAGUAGCACUCUCCUAAAACCCAUGUGUUUUCUUUGAAUUUUAUGUUGGGAUGGCUCUUCACCUUGAAAAGUGUGGCUUUAUAUCAAUGAGGCAGCGUCCGAGCUGAUAAAGAUUGUAGUGAGCCAAUUCUGGAGCAAUACAGAAUUGGAAAGAAAUUCAUGAGAAAAAAGGAUAGGGUGGACGAUGGAAAUCCUGGAGAAUGCUCUAUCCACAGGUAAUUUAAAAGUGAUAUAGUAUUAAAUAUAUAGACAAGUGAUCUCAAACUUAUGUAAUUAGUUAGCCUUUUCAUAUAUACUUGGAAUUACAUUAAUAACUAGUUAAUUAAUUAUUUGAAGUCCACCUUAAUUUUUCACGUUAGAAGGGAAAGGCCAUAUGACCUCUGCAAUGUUUGAGUUGUCUUUUUUCGUAGAGGGAACUAUUGCCAAAAUAAUCUCAUGAGAAGUAUAAGAAGUAUCAGAAGAAAUUCAUGAGAAGAAUGAUAAGGUGGAGGA